UACGUAGGGGGCAAGCGUUGUCCGGAAUCAUUGGGCGUAAAGAGCGUGUAGGCGGCCCGGUAAGUCCGCUGUGAAAGUCCAGGGCUCAACCCUGGGAUGCCGGUGGAUACUGUCGGGCUCGAGUCCGGAAGAGGAGUGUGGAAUUCCUGGUGUAGCGGUGAAAUGCGCAGAUAUCAGGAAGAACACCAAUGGCGAAAGCAGCUCUCUGGGACGGUACUGACGCUGAGACGCGAAAGUGUGGGGAGCGAACAGG
rnacentral:rRNA from 1 species